CCGGUUUUUAAAACCCUCAUUUGUCCCAAGUAAAUGCAUGAGAGCCCGCGACGUCGCGUUCUCAAGUAUUGCUGCGAAGUAGACGAAGUGUGGAGAAGCUUUCAAAUGCCCCAGUGGCCCGGCCUGGAGUUGGAAAGCGCCAAACCGGUUUAUCACCUGUGGGCUGAUUCUUCCUGAAUUAGAGGUCUCCUUGGUCCCACCAACCAAUCAGGCCUUUCCUACACACCUGGGGAUGAGGCUCGUCUUAAUUGAAUGCCUGACUCGUAUGAAUCGACCUGACCUCUAUAUACAAGUGCCUUCUUACCUUCUCUUUCCCAGAGGCUUCCUCCUGGGGCAGAGCUGGUUCCCUACAUGAGGCUGGAGGCCCUAGCUUUCUUUGAUUGCAAAUAAAUAAAAAUAUAUUUUU